rnacentral:tRNA from 1 species
GUCUCGAUAGCUUAAUGGUAGAGCAAAGGCAAUCCAAAACCUUGUGUAUUGGUUCAAAUCCAAUGAGAGACUCCA